GAUGAAGAACGCAGCGAAAUGCGAUACGUAAUGUGAAUUGCAGAAUUCAGUGAAUAAUCGAGUCUUUGAACGCACAUUGCGCCCCCUGGUAUUCCGGGGGGCAUGCCUGUCCGAGCGUCAUUGCUGCCCUCAAGCACGGCUUGUGUGUUGGGCCUCCGUCCUCCUCCCGGGGGACGGGCCCGAAAGGCAGCGGCGGCACCGCGUCCGGUCCUCGAGCGUAUGGGGCUUCGUCACCCGCUCUUGUAGGCCCGGCCGGCGCUUGCCGACACAUCAAUCUUUUUUCCAGGUUGACCUCGGAUCAGGUAGGGAUACCCGCUGAACUUAAGCAUAUCAAUAAGCGGAGGA
rnacentral:misc_RNA from 1 species